UGCAGCUGUAUGGGACACCAAAGAACAUUGACAUUUGGAUUGGGGCACUUGCAGAGCCCUUUGUGAAUGGAGGCAGAGUUGGGCCUCUCAUGGCUUGUCUCAUUGGCACCCAGUUCAGAAACAUUCGUGAUGGGGACAGGUUUUGGUGGGAGAACCCAGGGGUUUUUACUCCUUUGCAGCGCUGUUCACUGGCCAAAAUCUCCUUGUCACGAAUAAUAUGUGACAACACCGACAUCUCUAAAGUACCAAGACACAUUUUCAAGGCUAACAGAUACCCUUGUGGCUUUGUGAGCUGCAGCAAGAUCCCAAAGCUGGACCUCAGAGCCUGGAAGUCAACGAGGACCAAGGAAGCUGCAGAGCAAGUUCUUUACCAGGUGAAUCCUGCAUUCAGAUACUUCUGCAAGAUGACCUUCUAUAAGUUGUGGGUCUUCACCGUAAGCAUUCUGGUUAUUAUGUUGAGUAUUCCUCGUGGACGCGACGCAGAAAACAUGAAGUUUUUGCGCAUGAUGUUCCUGCCACUCAAAUACAUCUUUGGUCUCAAGAUAGUGGUGAAGGGCAAAGAGAACCUCAGGACUAAGAAACCUUUCGUCCUCGUGUUGAAUCAUCAGACCUCCCUUGACAUUAUGGUGAUGAUGGAGAUCUUACCAGAUCGCUGUGUGCCCAUUGCGAAGAAGGAAAUCCUAUACAUGGGCACUUUUGGCCUAGCAUGCUGGCUUUCAGGAAUUAUUUUCAUUGACCGCAAGAAGAAGGAAGAGUCUAUCACAACCUUGACACAGGUGGCACACUCCCUGCACAAAGAAAAAGUCUGUGUCUUGCUUUUCCCUGAAGGAACUCGCAAUCAUGGUGGCUCCAUGUUGCCCUUCAAACGUGGAGCCUUCCAGCUGGCUGUGAAAGCCCAGGUCCCUGUUAUUCCUGUAGUGAUCUCUUCCUACUGCAAAUUCUACAACCAGAAGGAGAAGAGAUUUACAACAGGUGAGGACGGCUCAGGGUAAAGUAUGGGCUGGGUGUUGGUGCAAGCCCAGACCUUGGAGGAAGCCAUGAGGUGAGUGGGCAGAGGACUAUGUGUGAUUUGGAGAUAGCACCAAGGCAACAGCAGUUUCUGUCUUCUUUGGAGGGGAGGGAAUGGGAGAUUUCAGGCACCACUUUUGCCUCUCCCCUUGGAUUUCUCACAGCUUGCCUGGUACCUGUAUAAGGGAACCUGGAAAAGCAGCAGCCCUGGGGCAGGUCCUGGCCCUGGCCCCCACACACUGUCUUUGGAGCUGCAAGUGCAUGGAGAGCUGGGAAACAAAAGCAAACAUGGACCUCUCAGCAAAAGUCACCCUGAGAGUGCAUCUCCUCCCAGUUACCAUGCUUCAUCCAUUUAUGAUGAUAAAACAUUCUGCUGGUCGCUGAUGAAAUUGUAUGGGGAAAAAAUGGUGCAAGUCUUGGGCUUCCAAAUGAAAAUGCAGGAAAAAAAAGUUUCAAAUUCCAACAGAGAAAAGUAACCCAUCUUGUUCCUCCACUUCCUUUGCUGACACCCACCCCAACAUGGGCUUCUGCCACUUCCCACCCUCCCGCGGGCCAGCCCUGCUGCCUCCUGAGGGAAGGAUUUGCACCUGAAAUUCUCAUUCCUCCCAUUGUCUGUCCUGGGUGUAGUCAUUCCCAGCAGGCAGACACCUGGAAGAGACAGUCGGUGCAAAUGUUAAACACUGCACCAUCUGUUUCUACUAAUCUUUUGCCUGCUGGGUCUGUCCUCUCUCUGUGGGCCACACACAAAAGCCUUUUGGCACUGGAAGGUUCCCUGAAGGCGCACCAACAGGAGCAUGAGCAGGGAUGCCAGCCCGCUCCCCCUUACGUGCCCCCCAAGGCAGGGCGCUGCUCUGGGAAAACAGAAGAGCACACGGCGAGGAGAACUUUGAAGCAGCGGAACCUUUUGCUUCAAGCAAGGCCAGCUCUAAAGACAGAAGAGUUUUCUCUGUGCCUUGUCCAGUUAAGUUUGGAGUAACUCCAAGGAAGGAGAUUCCACAACCCUCCUGAACAUUUUACGGAAGACUCUUAAGGUCUUAAUGCAUAAGGUUGCAUGUACAUUGGCCUUUAUAAUAAUCUCAGCCUGGGAGAUCGUGGUUAGCUGACCUCUAAGCCCUUGUCCAAAGCCCUGCUAAACAGGUAGGACCUUCACUGCUGAUGAAAGAGCCACAGUUAGCUUUUCCCGUACCUUCCCACUUUUCCCACCUGGAAGUUUUGCCAGGGCUGAUUCUGAAGAUGUGCUACGCACGGCCAAGAUUUCUGCACACUGAGCAGGCUGAUCCUCAGGUCAGGAGAGCUCGCCAUGUCCACAGUGGCUCUGGGCAUGCUGAUGAGCUUCUGGAAAGCCCAGCUGUGUCCAGUGUGUGCCCACGGUCAGGCAUGGAGCAAGUCUGGUACUUGCUGGAUGUCUGUUACACCCCAACAGACCAACGCUUUCAGCGCAGCCCCAUCAUCACUCAGCUUUGUCUGUAGGACCAAGUGAAGCGUAGUAGACUGCUGAGAUACCAAGCCCAGCCUGGGCUGCAAGAUGUGCAGGCGGGCAGCAUGCCCUCUUUUGUGAAGCUCUUCUCCACACUUCUGUUUUGCCUCCCUUGCAUGGCUCUGCUUGCAACACUUCUGGAUCUCAUUUCCUAGCACACAUGUAAAGGCAUGCAAGAAAGAAAAUAACAGCCACAGCCCAGACCCUCAGGUGGAUGUCUGUGCAGGCAGAGUCUUGUCUUCGCUGGCCAGAGCAAGGGUGACUGGGUGCAAGAGCAGAAGAGGAUGAUGACAUUUCCCCAGUAUAUUUAUAUAUGUAUAUGUACAUGCAUACAUACAUAUACAGACAGAUAUAUAUAUAAACUGUUUGCACCAGUCCGUUGCAUAGGCACUUUGCAAGAGCAGUAUGACACACCUUGGCCAAACAGGGAGUCCUGGGUGCAGUUCCUCUCAUCCCAAAGCCUGUUUCUGGAACGAGGGACUCUGCUGACUUUCAUAUACAUAGAUCAGAGCACAACCAGUUUGGAUGUGUUGUGUAACAGACAUCUCAUUCUCUUUGCCAUGAUCUAGAUAUACCCAGAGGUCUUUCCACUGUGAAAACUUCCGUUUGAAUCAUUGGAUUAGAUGUAUUUGGGAAGAGAUUCACCUGUUUCUGUAUUUAUGAUUUUUGUGGUCUCUGUGGAUGGGAAAAUCCUGGUUUGGUUUUUUGCUGUGUGCAUCUGGGACAUGACUGGGUUACAACACCACUGUUGGUAUAUGAAAGAGGAAAAAGCAUCAUCCAAAUCCUGCCAGAAGUGGACACCGUCGGCCUGGGCCCAGAUGAUGUCCCCAAGCUCACCGAGCAGGUCCGUGACUCCAUGCUCACCACCUUUCAGGGGAUAUCAGGAAUGACUAAUGGGGC